UCAAACUUGGUCAUUUAGAGGAAGUAAAAGUCGUAACAAGGUCUCCGUAGGUGAACCUGCGGAGGGAUCAUUACAGAGUUGCAAAACUCCUAAAACCCUUUGUAAAUUUACCUAUUUCUCUUGUUCCUUCGGCAGGUGGUCCCUGGGAGGGUCCUCCAGCCUGUGUGGUACAGGUGCCUGCCGAAGAACAAUCAAAACUCUGUUACUGUGGUGUUAUACUUCUGAGUUAUUAAAAAAUAAAUCAAAACUUUCAACAACGGAUCUCUUGGUUCUGGCAUCGAUGAAGAACGCAGC
rnacentral:misc_RNA from 1 species